rnacentral:ncRNA from 1 species
UACCUGGUUGAUCCUGCCAGUAGUCAUAUGCUUGUCUCAAAGAUUAAGCCAUGCAAGUCUAAGUACGAGCUCUCGUACAGUGAAACUGCGAAUGGCUCAUUAAAUCAGUUAUGGUUCAUUUGAUCGUACAGUUUACUUGGAUAACUGUGGUAAUUCUAGAGCUAAUACAUGCGAGAAGCGCCGACCUCGCGGGAGGCGUGCAUUUAUCAGACCAAAAACCGGCCGCGUCUUCGGGCGCGUUCGCCUUGGUGACUCUGGAUAACUUUGCGGAUCGCACGGUCUAGCACCGGCGACGGAUCAUUCAAGUGUCUGCCCUAUCAACUUUCGUCGGUACGGUAUUUGCCUACCGAGGUUCUUACGGGUGACGGGGAAUCAGGGUUCUAUUUCCGGAAAGGGAGCCUGAUAAACGGCUACCACAUCCAAGGAAGGCAGCAGGCGCGCAAAUUACCCAUUCCCGACGCGGGGAGGUAGUGACGAAAAAUAACAAUGCAGGACUCGUUCGAGGCCCUGUAAUUGGAAUGAGUACACUUUAAAAGCUUUAACGAGUAUCCAUUGGAGGGCAAGUCUGGUGCCAGCAGCCGCGGUAAUUCCAGCUCCAAAAGUAUAUAUUUAAGUUGUUGCGGUUAAAAAGCUCGUAGUUGGAUUUUGGGCGCAGGCGGCCGGUCCGUCGCAAGGCGUGUACUGGACGUCCUGGCCUUCCCUCCGGUUCUCCGCCGGUGCUCUUGACUG